UACGUUAAUAGCGUAUUCGUUUGACGUUAGCGACAGAAGAAAGCACCGGCUAACUCCGUGCCAGCAGCCGCGGUAAUACGGAGGGUGCGAGCGUUAAUCGGAAUUACUGGGCGUAAAGCGCAUGCAGGUGGUUUGUUAAGUCAGAUGUGAAAGACCCGGGGCUCAACCUCGGAAUAGCAUUUGAAACUGGCAGACUAGAGUACUGUAGAGGGGGGUAGGAAUUUCAGGUGUAGCGGUGAAAUAGCGUAGAGAUCUGAAGGAAUACCGGUGGCGAAGGCGGCCCCCUCGGACAGAUACUGACACUCAGAUGCGAAAGCGUGGGGAGCAAACAGGAUUAGAUACCCUGGUAG
rnacentral:rRNA from 1 species